rnacentral:piRNA from 1 species
UGAGAUGUGACCCCAGGUUCUAGACUGUC